rfam:Kockovaella imperatae strain NRRL Y-17943 BD324scaffold_3, whole genome shotgun sequence.
GUCCGCUUGGCCCAGGGGUAAGGCGCUUGACUUCGAGGUCUUGUUUUCGUCACAUUAGCGAUCAAAUCUGUUAAUCAAGCGAUCGGGGGUUCAAAUCCCUCAGCGGAUU